rnacentral:lncRNA from 1 species
CAUGUUGGUGUUGUCACUGUACGUGUUUGUAUAUAUUGUGAGCACUGUGUAUGUGGAUUUUGUGACUCUACUUGUUUGCAAUCAUUACUAUUACUCUGUGACUUCUCUGUGAGACAAGAGCUCUACCGCCUGAGCUAUACGGCCAAUCCCGUUAUGGCAGGUCUAAAUUUGCUUGGGCCCUACUACCACAAUAGGUAAGUAGAAGGUGUCACAAUUGGGUGUAAUCCUUUUAAAAGUACUUUUAAAAUUCUAGGAUCUGUCGCAAGUAUCGCAAUCGGUGGGUUUGAAGCAUUGGAAUUGGUCGGGCACUACCACCACAAUCGGUAAAUGUCAACAGCCUUGUGAGCAACCGGCCUCGUUUUCAGAAAGAGGUUGCGCCGCUCAGCAAAAUGGCGCUAGUAGAAGGCCAUAGAGACAGAGAUGAAGGUGUGUCUCUGAUUAUCAUCAUUCUGAGGACAGCUAAACUCGUCAUCACAUCAAGAUGUACAAUGCCACAGCUUCAGCACAGGGGAGAUGAAGGUAUGUCUCCUGGAUUAUCAUCACACUGAGGACAGGUAAUUUCUCAUCAUCACUAGCAAGAUCUACAACAUCGCAACCUUAGUACAGAGAUGAAGGUGUAUCUCUGAUUAUCAUCAUACUGAGGACAGCUAAUUUAUGAACUCAUCAUUGCCAGCAAGAUCUACAACGUCGCAGCCUCAGCACAGAGAUGAAGGUGUAUCUCUGAUUAUCAUCAUACUGAAGACAGCUAAACUCGUCAUCACAUCAAGAUGUACAAUCUUGCAGUCUCAGCAGAGCAGAGAUGAAGGUAUGUCUCCUGGAUUAUCAUUACACUGAGGACAGCUAAUUUUGUAAACUCAUCAUCACCAGCAAGAAGGUUUUUCUCCUUGAAUAUCAUCAUACUGAGAACAGUUAAAUUUAUCAUCACAUCAAGAUCUACAACUUUGCAGCCCCACCACAGCCUUAUAACAAGGUGUCUGCAGAAAAUAAAAACAGACAAAGCAAGACCUGUUAUGGUGGUACCACUGUGGACAACAUAAAUAUGGUGGCUAAUGUUGAUGCAAAUGCCAGUGAAAGCUCCUUUGAUUUUACCACUGGUGGAAGAAACUCUGAUGCUGCAGUUUUCAGAAAAAGUUCAUCCUCUAUCCAAUCAAAUGACUUUAAUUGCAUGCAAGUUGUCAGGAAGUCCUUUAGAGACGGUGGUUUUUCAGAAAAGUCAAUCAACAUUUUUAUGGCAUCAUGGAGAGCUAAACUAAAUGUCAGUACAAGAUACAUUUAUCAAAAUGGUUUCAGUUCUGUUGCAAACGGAGUAUUAAUUCAUUUUAUGUUUCUGUGAAUGAUGUUAUUGAGUUUUUUGACUGAUCUGUAGAACAAUGGCUUAGGAUAUAGUUCCUUGAAUACAGCCAGGAGUG